rnacentral:rRNA from 1 species
GGGUUGUGAGGUUAAGCGACUAAGCGUACACGGUGGAUGCCCUGGCAGUCAGAGGCGAUGAAGGACGUGCUAAUCUGCGAAAAGCGUCGGUAAGGUGAUAUGAACCGUUAUAACCGGCGAUGUCCGAAUGGGGAAACCCAGUGCAAUUCGUUGCACUAUCGUUAACUGAAUACAUAGGUUAACGAGGCGAACCGGGGGAACUGAAACAUCUAAGUACCCCGAGGAAAAGAAAUCAACCGAGAUUCCCCCAGUAGCGGCGAGCGAACGGGGAGCAGCCCAGAGUCUGAAUCAGCUUGUGUGUUAGUGGAACGGUCUGGAAAGUCCGACGGUACAGGGUGAUAGUCCCGUACACCAAAAUGCACAGGCUGUGAACUCGAAGAGUAGGGCGGGACACGUGGUAUCCUGUCUGAAUAUGGGGGGACCAUCCUCCAAGGCUAAAUACUCCUGACUGACCGAUAGUGAACCAGUACCGUGAGGGAAAGGCGAAAAGAACCCCGGCGAGGGGAGUGAAAAAGAACCUGAAACCGUGUACGUACAAGCAGUGGGAGCACCUUCGGGUGUGACUGCGUACCUUUUGUAUAAUGGGUCAGCGACUUAUAUUCUGUAGCAAGGUUAACCGUAUAGGGGAGCCGCAGGGAAACCGAGUCUUAACUGGGCGUUAAGUUGCAGGGUAUAGACCCGAAACCCGGUGAUCUAGCCAUGGGCAGGUUGAAGGUUGGGUAACACUAACUGGAGGACCGAACCGACUAAUGUUGAAAAAUUAGCGGAUGACUUGUGGCUGGGGGUGAAAGGCCAAUCAAACCGGGAGAUAGCUGGUUCUCCCCGAAAGCUAUUUAGGUAGCGCCUCGUGAAUUCAUCUUCGGGGGUAGAGCACUGUUUCGGCUAGGGGGUCAUCCCGACUUACCAACCCGAUGCAAACUACGAAUACCGAAGAAUGUUAUCACGGGAGACACACGGCGGGUGCUAACGUCCGUCGUGAAGAGGGAAACAACCCAGACCGCCAGCUAAGGUCCCAAAGUCAUGGUUAAGUGGGAAACGAUGUGGGAAGGCACAGACAGCCAGGAUGUUGGCUUAGAAGCAGCCAUCAUUUAAAGAAAGCGUAAUAGCUCACUGGUCGAGUCGGCCUGCGCGGAAGAUGUAACGGGGCUAAACCAUGCACCGAAGCUGCGGCAGCGACACUAUGUGUUGUUGGGUAGGGGAGCGUUCUGUAAGCCUGCGAAGGUGUGCUGUGAGGCAUGCUGGAGGUAUCAGAAGUGCGAAUGCUGACAUAAGUAACGAUAAAGCGGGUGAAAAGCCCGCUCGCCGGAAGACCAAGGGUUCCUGUCCAACGUUAAUCGGGGCAGGGUGAGUCGGCCCCUAAGGCGAGGCCGAAAGGCGUAGUCGAUGGGAAACAGGUUAAUAUUCCUGUACUUGGUGUUACUGCGAAGGGGGGACGGAGAAGGCUAUGUUAGCCGGGCGACGGUUGUCCCGGUUUAAGCAUGUAGGCUGGUUGUCCAGGCAAAUCCGGAUAAUCAAGGCUGAGGUGUGAUGACGAGGCACUACGGUGCUGAAGUAACAAAUGCCCUGCUUCCAGGAAAAGCCUCUAAGCAUCAGGUAACAUCAAAUCGUACCCCAAACCGACACAGGUGGUCAGGUAGAGAAUACCAAGGCGCUUGAGAGAACUCGGGUGAAGGAACUAGGCAAAAUGGUGCCGUAACUUCGGGAGAAGGCACGCUGGUGUGUAGGUGAAGUCCCUGCGGAUGGAGCUGAGACCAGUCGAAGAUACCAGCUGGCUGCAACUGUUUAUUAAAAACACAGCACUGUGCAAACACGAAAGUGGACGUAUACGGUGUGACGCCUGCCCGGUGCCGGAAGGUUAAUUGAUGGGGUUAUCCGUAAGGAGAAGCUCUUGAUCGAAGCCCCGGUAAACGGCGGCCGUAACUAUAACGGUCCUAAGGUAGCGAAAUUCCUUGUCGGGUAAGUUCCGACCUGCACGAAUGGCGUAAUGAUGGCCAGGCUGUCUCCACCCGAGACUCAGUGAAAUUGAACUCGCUGUGAAGAUGCAGUGUACCCGCGGCAAGACGGAAAGACCCCGUGAACCUUUACUAUAGCUUGACACUGAACAUUGAGCCUUGAUGUGUAGGAUAGGUGGGAGGCUUUGAAGCGUGGACGCCAGUCUGCGUGGAGCCAACCUUGAAAUACCACCCUUUAAUGUUUGAUGUUCUAACGUUGGCCCCUUACCGGGGUUGCGGACAGUGUCUGGUGGGUAGUUUGACUGGGGCGGUCUCCUCCCAAAGCGUAACGGAGGAGCACGAAGGUUAGCUAAUCCUGGUCGGACAUCAGGAGGUUAGUGCAAUGGCAUAAGCUAGCUUGACUGCGAGCGUGACGGCGCGAGCAGGUGCGAAAGCAGGUCAUAGUGAUCCGGUGGUUCUGAAUGGAAGGGCCAUCGCUCAACGGAUAAAAGGUACUCCGGGGAUAACAGGCUGAUACCGCCCAAGAGUUCAUAUCGACGGCGGUGUUUGGCACCUCGAUGUCGGCUCAUCACAUCCUGGGGCUGAAGUAGGUCCCAAGGGUAUGGCUGUUCGCCAUUUAAAGUGGUACGCGAGCUGGGUUUAGAACGUCGUGAGACAGUUCGGUCCCUAUCUGCCGUGGGCGCUGGAGAAUUGAGGGGGGCUGCUCCUAGUACGAGAGGACCGGAGUGGACGCAUCACUGGUGUUCGGGUUGUCAUGCCAAUGGCACUGCCCGGUAGCUAAAUGCGGAAGAGAUAAGUGCUGAAAGCAUCUAAGCACGAAACUUGCCCCGAGAUGAGUUCUCCCUGAGACUUUAAGUCUCCUGAAGGAACGUUGAAGACGACGACGUUGAUAGGCCGGGUGUGUAAGCGCAGCGAUGCGUUGAGCUAACCGGUACUAAUGAACCGUGAGGCUUAACCUUACAACGCCGAAG